rnacentral:rRNA from 1 species
AUUGAACGCUGGCGGCAGGCCUAACACAUGCAAGUCGAACGAGUGGCGGACGGGUGAGUAAUGUCUGGGAAACUGCCUGAUGGAGGGGGAUAACUACUGGAAACGGUAGCUAAUACCGCAUACCAUCGGAUGUGCCCAGAUGGGAUUGGCUAGUAGGUGGGGUAAAGGCUCACCUAGGCGCCGAUCCCUAGCUGGUCUGAGAGGAUGACCAGCACCACUGGACCUGGGACACGGCCCAGACUCCGACGGGGGGCAGAAUUGGGGAUUAUUGCACAAUGGGCGCAAGCCUGAUGAAGCCAUGCCGCGGGUAUGAAGAAGGCCUUCGGGUUGUAAAGUACUUUCAGCGGGGAGGCGUUACCCGCAGAAGAAGCACCGGCUAACUCCGUGCAAGCAGCCGCGGUAUUC